GUAAUUUUAAGCGGGAGCAUAUUACCCCCAGGCCUGUUCCCCCUACCGCAGUUUUUACGCAUAGUUAAGUUAUUGGUAACGCAUGAAUCCCAUCCUAAUCAAUAGGCUCCAGAAGAAACUAGGUUAUGCUUUCCAGC
rfam:Secondary endosymbiont of Ctenarytaina eucalypti chromosome, complete genome.